ACAAUGCAGUGCCCCCCAAUUCUUUGUCUCCUCCGGGUCACGGUCCGCUACUGCCUCUGACAAAUAAAAGUUUGCAAAAAUACAAUUAUAAUGGCAUAUGUCAUACGUGAAGGAUGAUGUACAUUUAAUGUGGAACCUGGCUAUGAAUUGAGAAGACUGCCGUUGACUCCAAAUACAGGGUGUUGCACAUACACAUUCAGAAAUCGAUCUUCCGUCGAAUACAGUCAUGGCCAAUUCAUCGAAACAAGAAGAAGGUGGUACUCCAUGUCGACCAUCCAGAGGGUUUAAACGGUGGUUCAUCUUAGCCGAUCUGUUCAUGGUAUCUUUUCUAGAAUUAGGAUCAAAACGGGUGCUUUCUCUACUUCUGGAUGUCUUUACAUUUCAGUUUGAUGUCAGUGCGUCGUACAUCGGGGCGAUAUAUGGUCUUGUUUCUGGAAUGCCGUACUUCUUAGGAUUGAUCACUAUACCUCUACUUCGCUACUUCUCGGUUCGACUGCUUACGAUAAUUGGUGGUAUAUUGGCA